rnacentral:miRNA from 1 species
UGUGUGUGUGUGCGUGUGUGUGCGUGUGUGUGCGCGCAUGCGCGCGCGCACACACACACACACACACACACACACU